GGUAGCUACGUUCGGGACGGAUAAACGCUGAAAGCAUCUAAGCGUGAAACCAGCCUUGAGAUGAGGUUUCUCAUAGCGUAAGCUAGUAAGAUCCCAUGUAGACGACAUGUAGAUAGGCCAGGUGUGGAAGAGCCGUGAGGUUUGGAGCUGACUGGUACUAAUCGAUCGAGGGCUUUACUUA
rnacentral:rRNA from 1 species